rnacentral:misc_RNA from 1 species
UCUCCGUAGGUGAACCUGCGGAGGGAUCAUUACAGAGUUCAUGCCCUACCGGGUAGAUCUCCCACCCUAUGUUAUUAUUACUUUGUUUCUUUGGCGGGCCGUUAGGCUCCGGCCCGACUACCGGCCCCGGCUGGUAAGCGCCCGCCAGAGGACCCAAAACCCUGAAUAUUAGUGUCGUCUGAGUACUAUAUAAUAGUUAAAACUUUCAACAACGGAUCCCUUGGUUCUG